CCUACGGGAGGCAGCAGUGAGGAAUAUUGGUCAAUGGGUGCGAGCCUGAACCAGCCAAGUCGCGUGAGGGAAGACGGUCCUAUGGAUUGUAAACCUCUUUUGUCGGGGAGCAAAAGACGCAACGCGUGGCGUUCCGAGAGUACCCGAAGAAAAAGCAUCGGCUAACUCCGUGCCAGCAGCCGCGGUAAUACGGAGGAUGCGAGCGUUAUCCGGAUUUAGUGGGUUUAAAGGGUGCGCAGGCGGAAGAUCAAGUCAGCGGUAAAAUUGAGAGGCUCAACCUCUUAGAGCCGUUGAAACUGGUUUUCUUGAGUGAGUGAGAAGUAUGCGGAAUGCGUGGUGUAGCGGUGAAAUGCAUAGAUAUCACGCAGAACUCCGAUUGCGAAGGCAGCAUACCGGCGCUCAACUGACGCUCAUGCACGAAAGUGUGGGUAUCGAACAGGAUUAGAUACCCCGGUAGUC
rnacentral:rRNA from 1 species